UACAGAGGUCUCAAGCGUUGUUCGGAUUCAUUGGGCGUAAAGGGUGCGUAGGCGGCGCGGUAAGUCGGAUGUGAAAUCUCGGAGCUUAACUUCGAAACUGCAUUCGAUACUGCCGUGCUUGAGGACUGGAGAGGAGACUGGAAUUUACGGUGUAGCGGUGAAAUGCGUAGAUAAUCGUAAGGAAGACCAGUGGCGAAGGCGGGUCUCUGGACAGUUCCUGACGCUGAGGCACGAAGGCCGGGGGAGCAAACGGG
rnacentral:rRNA from 1 species